UGAAUACGAGAUGCUACGGCGUCGAAGCAGUGUAUGUCAGACUUCCAAGAAAAGCUCGCAAUGUCAUAAAUAAAGAAUGCCUGUACCAUAACCGACACAGGUGGGUAGGUAGAGUAUACUAAGGGGCGCGAGAUAACUCUCUCUAAGGAACUCGGCAAAAUAACUCCGUAACUUCGGGAGAAGGAGUGCCUUCUUUAAGAAGGUUGCAAUAACAAGAUCCAAGCAACUGUUUAUCAAAAACACAGGUCUCCGCUAAGUCGUAAGACGAUGUAUGGGGGCUGACGCCUGCCCAGUGCCAGAAGGUUAAAGAAGUUGGUUAGCUUUUGCGAAGCUGAUGACUGAAGCCCUGGUGAACGGCGGCCGUAACGAUAACGGUCCUAAGGUAGCGAAAUUCCUUGUCGGGUAAGUUCCGACCCGCACGAAAGGCGUAAUGAUUUGGAUACUGUCUCGGAGAGGGACUCGGUGAAAUAGACUUGUCUGUGAAGAUGCGGACUACCUGCACCAGGACAGAAAGACCCUAUGAAGCUUUACUGUAACUUGAAAUUGAAAUUGGACUUUAUUUGCGCAGUAUAGGUGGAAGGCGUUGAAAGUAAUCUUGCGGGAUUAGUGGAGCCAUCAGUGAGAUACCACUCCUAUAAUGUUAGAUUUCUAACUUUGGAUCAUGAUCUGGUCAAAGAACAGUUUCAGGCGGGCAGUUUGACUGGGGCGGUCGCCUCCCAAAUGGUAACGGAGGCGUACAAAGGUUUCCUCUGAACGGGUAGAAAUCGUAUCUAGAGUGUAAAGGCAUAAGGAAGCUUGACUGUGAGACCUACAAGUCGAGCAGGGACGAAAGUCGGUCUUAGUGAUCUGACGGUGCUGAGUGGAAAGGCCGUCACUCAACGGAUAAAAGUUACUCUAAGGAUAACAGGCUGAUCUCCCCCAAGAGUUCACAUCGACGGGGAGGUUUGGCACCUCGAUGUCGGCUCAUCGCAUCCUGGGGCGGUAGUACGUCCCAAGGGUUGGGCUGUUCGCCCAUGAAAGCGGUACGCGAGCUGGGUUCAGAACGUCGUGAGACAGUUCGGUCCAUAUCCGGUGUAGGCGUUAGAAUAUUGAGAGGAGCCUUCUUUAGUACGAGAGGACCGAGAAGGACAUACCUCUGGUGUACCAGUUAUCGUGCCAACGGUAAACGCUGGGUAGCUAUGUAUGGAGAGGAUAACCGCUGAAAGCAUCUAAGUGGGAAGCCCACCUCAAGAUGAG
rnacentral:rRNA from 1 species